GGAGGCCGGCCGUGGACGGUCGUCUCGCCAACCCGGUCAGGUCCGGAAGGAAGCAGCCGUAACGAGUUUCGUCCGGGUCGCGUGUCCGGUCUCCCAC
rnacentral:SRP_RNA from 2 species